CUUGACAUCCAGAGAAUUUAGCAGAGAUGCUUUAGUGCCUUCGGGAACUCUGAGACAGGUGCUGCACGGCUGUCGUCAGCUCGUGUUGUGAAAUGUUGGGUUAAGUCCGCAACGAGCGCAACCCUUAUCCUUUGUUGCCAGCACGUAAUGGUGGGAACUCAAAGGAGACUGCCGGUGAUAAACCGGAGGAAGGUGGGGAUGACGUCAAGUCAUCAUGGCCCUUACGAGUAGGGCUACACACGUGCUACAAUGGCGUAUACAAAGAGAAGCGACCUCGCGAGAGCAAGCGGACCUCAUAAAGUGCGUCGUAGUCCGGAUUGGAGUCUGCAACUCGACUCCAUGAAGUCGGAAUCGCUAGUAAUCGUAAAUCAGAAUGUUACGGUGAAUACGUUCCCGGGCCUUGUACACACCGCCCGUCACACCAUGGGAGUGGGUUGCAAAAGAAGUAGAUAGCUUAACCUUCGGGAGGGCGUUUACCACUUUGUGAUUCAUGACUGGGGUGAAGUCGUAACAAGGUAAGCGUAGUGCU
rnacentral:rRNA from 1 species